rfam:Candidate division WOR-3 bacterium 4484_100 ex4484_100_scaffold_1478, whole genome shotgun sequence.
CCCGGUGGCAAUACCGAUGGGGAAACACCUCUUCCCAUUCCGAACAGAGAAGUUAAGCCCAUCAGGGCCGAUGGUACUGUGCUGGUGACGGCACGGGAGAGUAGGUCGCUGCCGGGU